UACAACUUUCAACAACGAUCUCUUGGUUCUGGCAUCGAUGAAGAACGCAGCGAAAAUGCGAUAGUAGUGUGAAUUGCAGAAUUCAGUGAAUCAUCGAAUCUUUGAACGGCACACAUUGCGCCCCUUGGUAUUCCAUGGGGCAUGCCUGUUCGAGCGUACAUUUGUACCCUCAAGCUCUGCUUGGUGUUGGGUAGAAUGUUCUCUGUGCUUGCGCAGACUGGGACUCGCCUGAAACAAUUGGCAGCCGGCAUAUUGGCCUGGAGCGCAGCAAUUUUGCGCCUCUUGCUGAUUGUUGGCAUCCAUCAAGAUAUUUUAUUAGCUCUUGAUCUGGAUCAGGUAGGGAUACCCGCUGAACUUAAGCAUAUCAAUAAGCGGAGGAAAGAAACCAACAGGGAUUGCCCUAGUAACGGCGAGUGAAGCGGCAACAGCUCAAAUUUUGAAAUCUGGCUCUUUUAGGGUCCGAGUUGUAAUUUGCAGAGGGCGCUUUGGCGUUGGCAAGCGGUCCAAGUUCCUUGGAACAGGACGUCACAGAGGGUGAGAAUCCCGUACGUGGUCGCUGGUCUUCGCCGUGUAAAGCCCCUUCGACGAGUCGAGUUGUUUGGGAAUGCAGCUCUAAAUGGGAGGUAAAUUUCUUCUAAAGCUAAAUACUGGCCAGAGACCGAUAGCGCACAAGUAGAGUGAUCGAAAGAUGAAAAGCACUUUGGAAAGAGUCAAAUAGCACGUGAAAUUGUUGAAAGGGAAGCCUUGCAGCCAGACUUGCCUGUAGUUGCUCAUCCGGGCUUUUGCCCGGUGCACUCUUCUAUAGGCAGGCCAGCAUCAGUUUGGGCGGUUUGGAUAAAGGUCUCUAUCACGUACCUCUUCGGGGAGGCCUUAUAGGGGAGACGACAUGCAACCAGCCUGGACUGAGGUCCGCGCAUUUGCUAGGAUGCUGGCGUAAUGGCUCGGCCCGUCUUGAAACACGGACUAAGGAGUCUAACAUCUAUGCGAGUGUUUAGGUGUCAAGCCCGAACGCGUAAUAAAAGUAAACGGAGGUGGGAACCCUUUAGGGCGCACCAUCGACCGAUCCUAAUGUCUUUGGAAGGAUUUAAGUAAGAGCAUAGCUAUUAGGACCUAAAAGAUAGUAAACUAUGCUUAAAUAGGGUAAAGCUAGAGGAAACUCUAGUAGAGGCUCGCAGCGGUUCUAACGUGCAAAUUAAUCGUUAAAUUUAGGUAUAGGGGCGAAAGACUAAUUAAACUAUCUAGUAGCUAGUUCCUGCUAAAGUUUCCCUUAGGAUAGCAGUAACGUAUUUAGUUUUAUAAGGUAAAGCGAAUAAUUAGAGGCCUAGGGGUUAAAACAACCUUUACCUAUUCUUAAACUUUAAAUAUGUAAGAAGUCCUUAUUACUUAAUUAAACGUAGACACUUAAAUAUACUGUUACUAGUAGGCUAUUUUUAGUAAGCAGAACUAGCGAUGCGGGAUAAACUAAACGCGGGGUUAAGGUGCUAGAAUGCACGCUUAUUAGACACUACAAAAGGUGUUAGUUUAUCUAGAUAGCAGGACGGUAGCUAUAGAAGUUAGAAUCCGCUAAGGAGUGUGUAACAACUUACCUACUAAAUAAACUAGCCCUAAAAAUAGAUAGCGCUUAAGCGUGUUACCUAUACCCCGCCGCUAGGGCAAGAUUUAAGCCCUAGCGAGUAGGCAGGCGUAGAGGCUCGUAACGAAGCCUUAGGGGUAACCCUAGGUAGAACGGCCUCUAGUGCAGAUCUUAGUAGUAGUAGCAAAUACUUAAAUAAGAACUUUAAGGACUAAAGUAGGGAAAGGUUCCGUGUAAACAGCAGUUAGACACGGGUUAGUUAAUCCUAAGAGAUAGGGUAAUUCCGUUUUAAUAUUAGCGCUUACGCCGCGCCCUUAAAAGGGAAGCUAGUUAAUAUUCUAGCACCUAGAUAUAGAUUCUCUCUAGCAACGCAACUAAGAGCGGAGACCUUAGCGGGAGCCCUAAGAAGAGUUCUCUUUUCUUCUUAAUAGUCUAUUACCCUAAAAUUAGUUUGUCUAGAGCUAGGGUUUAAUAGCUAGAAGAGCGCUGCACUUUUGCGGCGUUUAGUGCGCUCCUAACAAGCCUUAAAAAUCUGCUUAAAGAAAUAGUUUUUACGCUAGGUUAUACUUAUAACUGUAGUAGGUCUCUAAGGUAAAAAGCCUCUAGUUAAUAGAAUAAUAUAGAUAAGGGAAGUUAGUAAAAUAGAUCUAUAACUUUAGGAAAAGGAUUAGCUCUAAGGGUUAGGUACGUUAGGCCUUAGGGAAAAGCCUCUAGCGCAGAAGGGCACUAGCCGUAAGGUAGGCGCCUUUUAGCGCUAGGGUGCGGACACCCUUAGCAGGCUUCGGCCGUCUAGCGUACGUUUAACAACUAACUUAGAACUAGUACAGACAAGGGGAAUCUAACUAUCUAAUUAAAAUAUAGCAUUGCGAUAGCUAGAAAGUAGUGUUAACGUAAUGUAAUUUCUGCCUAGUGCUCUAAAUGUUAAAG
rnacentral:rRNA from 1 species